rnacentral:rRNA from 1 species
GACGAACGCUGGCGGCGUGCUUAACACAUGCAAGUCGAACGCUGAAGCUCAGCUUUUGUUGGGUGGAUGAGUGGCGAACGGGUGAGUAACACGUGAGUAACCUGCCCCCUUCUUUGGGAUAACGCCCGGAAACGGGUGCUAAUACUGGAUAUUCACUGGUCUUCGCAUGGGGGUUGGUGGAAAGGGUUUUUCUGGCGGGGGAUGGGCUCGCGGCCUAUCAGCUUGUUGGUGGGGUGAUGGCCUACCAAGGCUUUGACGGGUAGCCGGCCUGAGAGGGUGACCGGUCACAUUGGGACUGAGAUACGGCCCAGACUCCUACGGGAGGCAGCAGUGGGGAAUAUUGCACAAUGGGCGCAAGCCUGAUGCAGCGACGCCGCGUGAGGGAUGGAGGCCUUCGGGCUGUGAACCUCUUUCGCUCAUGGUCAAGCCGCAACAAUGGUUGUGGUGAGGGUAGUGGGUAAAGAAGCGCCGGCUAACUACGUG